ACGAACGCUGGCGGCGUGCCUAACACAUGCAAGUCGAGCGAGGAGAUUCCUUCGGGAUGAUCCUAGCGGCGGACGGGUGAGUAACACGUGGGCAACCUGCCUCAUAGAGAGGAAUAGCCUUCCGAAAGGGAGAUUAAUACCUCAUAACAUUGCAGUUUCGCAUGGAACAGCAAUUAAAGGAGCAAUCCACUAUGAGAUGGGCCCGCGGCGCAUUAGCUAGUUGGUGAGGUAACGGCUCACCAAGGCGACGAUGCGUAGCCGACCUGAGAGGGUGAUCGGCCACAUUGGGACUGAGACACGGCCCAAACUCCUACGGGAGGCAGCAGUAGGGAAUCUUCCGCAAUGGACGAAAGUCUGACGGAGCAACGCCGCGUGAGUGAAGAAGGUUUUUUCCGGAUCGUAAAACUCUGUUGUCAGAGAAGAACAAGUUGGAGAGUAACUGCUCCAGCCUUGACGGUAUCUGACCAGAAAGCCACGGCUAACUACGUGCCAGCAGCUGC
rnacentral:rRNA from 1 species